AGAUGUGAGGGCGAUCUGGCUGCUACAUCUGUCACCCCAUUGAUAGCCAGGGUUGAUCCAGCUGAUCUGGCUGGCUAGGCGGGUGACCCCUUCCUCCCUAACUGCUCCAGGUGCGCCCCUCCCCAAGCUGAGCUCUCAGUUGAAGAAGACAGCCUUCCCCAAUAGAAUCGAAUGGGUCUUCUUUAGAGGGUGUACGAGUUGCUGCACUCCCCUGCUAGAACCUCCAAACAAGCUCUAAAGAAAGCAUUCCCAGCACAGUAUUAAGCUGUGAAUAACACAUACAGUGUGAGCUGAAGCACAUGCCAUGCUUUCAGUGCU
rnacentral:snRNA from 1 species